AUGUUCUCUGUAGCUCUGCUGCUGCUGCUGGCUGCUGGAUGCUGUGUUGAUAGUCAGACUCUGACAGAGUCUGAAUCAGUGGUUAAAAGACCUGGAGACUCACACAGACUGACCUGUACAGCCUCUGGAUUCACAUUCAGUAGCUACUACAUGGCCUGGAUCAGACAGGCUCCUGGACAAGGACUGGAGUGGAUUGCAAGCAUGCACAGUACUAACAUCUACUACUCUCAGUCAGUUCAGGGCCGGUUCACCAUCUCCAGAGACGAUAACAGACAGCAGGUGUUUCUGCAGAUGAACAGUCUGAAGACUGAAGACUCUGCUGUUUAUUAUUGCGCUCGUGACCCACAGUGA